CAUCUCAUCAUGAUUAAAGAAUUUCGGAAACGGAUAGGCUCGCGUGACAUUAGCUAGAUGGCGGGGUAACGGCCCACCAUGGCGACGAUGUCUAGGGGUUCUGAGAGGAAGGUCCCCCACACUGGAACUGAGACACGGUCCAGACUCCUACGGGAGGCAGCAGUGAGGAAUAUUGGUCAAUGGUCGGAAGACUGAACCAGCCAUGCCGCGUGAAGGUGACGGCCCUAUGGGUCUUAAACUUCUUUUGUAAGGGAGCAAUAAGGAUCACGCGUGGUCUGAUGAGAGUACCUUACGAAUAAGCAUCGGCUAACUCCGUGCCAGCAGCCGCGGUAAUACGGGGGAUGCAAGCGUUAUCCGGAUUUAUUGGGUUUAAAGGGUGCGUAGGCGGUCUAUUAAGUCAGCGGUGAAAUUUAGGGGCUCAACCUCUACCGUGCCGUUGAUACUGGUAGGCUGGAAUGCGGAUGCCGUGGGAGGAAUGUGUGGUGUAGCGGUGAAAUGCAUAGAUAUCACACAGAACACCGAUUGCGAAGGCAUCUCACGAAUCCGCGAUUGACGCUGAUGCACGAAAGCGUGGGGAUCAAACAGGAUUAGAUACCCUGGUAGUCCACGCUGUAAACGAUGAUGACUAACCGUCGGCGAUAUACAGUCGGUGGCCAAGCGAAAGCGAUAAGUCAUCCACCUGGGGAGUACGACCGCAAGGUUGAAACUCAAAGGAAUUGACGGGGGCCCGCACAAGCGGAGGAACAUGUGGUUUAAUUCGAUGAUACGCGAGGAACCUUACCCGGGCUCGAACGGCAGAUGAAUUGAGUAGAGAUAUUCAAGUCUUCGGACAUCUGUCGAGGUGCUGCAUGGUUGUCGUCAGCUCGUGCUGUGAAGUGUCGGCUUAAGUGCCAUAACGAGCGCAACCCUUGCCGUUAGUUGCCAUCAGGUAAUGCUGGGGACUCUAGCGGGACUGCCACCGCAAGGUGUGAGGAAGGGGGGGAUGACGUCAAAUCAGCACGACCCUUACGUCCGGGGCGACACACGUGUUACAAUGGUGGGUACAGAGGGAAGCUACCUGGCGACAGGAUGCA
rnacentral:rRNA from 1 species